AUCUAAGAGAAAUAAUUAAAAAUUAUUUGAUCAACUAAAUAAAAUUAAUUAAUAAAUCAAAGAAGAGAGAGAACUCUCUUCUUCCCUUCUUCUCUUCAAACAGGGGAUCGUUCCCCAUUCUCCCUCUCCCACAUGUGGCCACAGACCACCGAAACCAACCACCCACGACGGCUCUCAACGGCGACGAACACCAUGGCACCGGUGAUGGCCCCAA
rnacentral:lncRNA from 1 species